AUUGAACGCUGGCGGCAUGCUUUACACAUGCAAGUCGAACGGUAACAGGCCUUCGGGUGCUGACGAGUGGCGAACGGGUGAGUAAUGCAUCGGAACGUGCCCAGAGGUGGGGGAUAACGCAGCGAAAGCUGUGCUAAUACCGCAUGUGAUCUGAGGAUGAAAGCGGGGGACCGGGCAGCAAUGUUUGGCCUCGCGCCUUUGGAGCGGCCGAUGUCGGAUUAGGUAGUUGGUGGGGUAAGGGCCUACCAAGCCGACGAUCUGUAGCUGGUCUGAGAGGACGACCAGCCACACUGGGACUGAGACACGGCCCAGACUCCUACGGGAGGCAGCAGUGGGGAAUUUUGGACAACGGGCGAAAGCCUGAUCCAGCAAUGCCGCGUGCGGGAAGAAGGCCUUCGGGUUGUAAACCGCUUUUGUACGGAACGAAAAGGCUCUGGCUAAUACCUGGGGCUGAUGACGGUACCGUAAGAAUAAGCACCGGCUAACUACGUG
rnacentral:rRNA from 1 species